AGAGUUUGAUCAUGGCUCAGAACGAACGCUGGCGGCAGGCCUAACACAUGCAAGUCGAACGAAGCCCCUCUUCGGAGGUCAGCUUAGUGGCGCACGGGUGAGUAACACGUGGGAACGUACCCUUAGGUGCAGGACAACAGUUGGAAACGACUGCUAAUACUGCAUAAUAACUCCGGUUCAAAGAAUUUCGCCUAAGGAUCGGCCCGCGUCUGAUUAGCUAGUUGGUGGGGUAAUGGCCUACCAAGGCGACGAUCAGUAGCUGUUCUGAGAGGAUGAUCAGCCACACUGGUACUGAGACACGGACCAGACUCCUACGGGAGGCAGCAGUGAGGAAUAUUGGACAAUGGGGGCAACCCUGAUCCAGCCAUGCCGCGUGAGUGAAGAAGGCCUUAGGGUUGUAAAGCUCUUUCAGAUGUGAAGAUGAUGACGGUAACAUCAGAAGAAGCUCCGGCUAACUUCGUGCCAGCAGCCGCGGUAAUACGAAGGGAGCGAGCGUUGUUCGGAAUCACUGGGCGUAAAGCGUGCGUAGGCGGAUAAGAAAGUCAGAAGUGAAAUCCCGGGGCUCAACCCCGGAACUGCUUUUGAAACUCCUUGUCUAGAG
rnacentral:rRNA from 1 species